UUAGUUCUUCUUCAUCUUUUAUAUUUUUUAGACAUUUCAUUUUUUCCUUCUUGAUUAGUAUAUCAAUUUUUCCAAUGAAAUAAUAUUCCAACAAAACAGAUAUUUUAACAAGGGAGAAAAUGUCCUCCGCAAUAGCAUAGAAAAGUUAAGGCAUCUAUAAGCUACAACACCCGGGCACAAAAAGUUGAACUGCAACCCACUAAGAAUUUGUCUGAAGAUUAAGUCUAUAUGCUUAUAGCUUUCUGGCUAUUAGGCGUACUCUUCGGGAUGUCAGAAAUGAAAAUAGCUUGGUAGAUUUAAUUGACUCACUACAGGGAUACGAACUUUACAGAAUCCUUUCUUUUGUUAUUAUGUAGGAGGGUUCUGACUAUGCAUAUUCGGCGGUUCGAAACCGCCGCAAUUGAAAUAAACUAAUCCUACUAUUCUGCUCUCCUUUUGCGUAAUUUCAUAAUCAAAUUUAUCCAAAAUAAUACUCUGCAUAUAAUAAAUAAUCAAAAUAUGAGAAGAAAAAGCAGAAUACUCCUCAUAUAUCAUAAGCACUCCAAAAUUACAUUAAAUAUAUUCUUUCAAAGUGUUACUCAACAACAAAAUAAUACAAUCAAUCCUAACUGCAUUUAGCAUUUUUACUUCAUGUGAAAAACUCCUUGGCCAGUUGGUGAUAAUGGAGUGUCACUUCAAAAUAUGAUGCCUGCAAGAAAGGAAAGUAUCUGUUAACUUAAAAUCAUUUUAGUUUCUUAGAAAGAAAUAAUGGUAGAAUAUAAACCUUUUCACAUAUUAUUCAACAGAUAAAGCCACAACCAAAAGAACAUUAAACCUAUAUCGACACAACCAUAAGAACAUUAACCCUUGUGCUGCACUGCAAAAUAUAUAAUGCAUUGC
rnacentral:lncRNA from 1 species